AGAGUAAAAUAGUACGUGAAAUUGUUGAAAGGGAAACGAUUGAAGUCAGUCGUACCGACGAGAAAUCAGCUCUUCGAGUGCGAACUUGCGGGCGUGCGUGAGUCUUUAACGGGCCUCGCUUGUUUGCAAUGUUUGUGCUUCUUGGGUGUACUUUUUCGUAUGGUAGGCCAACGUCAGUUUCGAUUGCCGUAAAAUGAUCGGAGGAAUGUAGCUUCGAUCUCGUAUUGAAGUGUUAUAGCCUCUGGUAGAUGCGGUGAUCGAAACUGAGGAUUGCAACGAAUACCCUUUGGGCUAUCCGUCUGACCUCUGAAAGUUACUUAGGUGCUGAAAGCGUGCUUACGGUAUUUAAGUUGACGGUCAACAGGUUAGAACGCGAUUACAUUCGUUAAGGACGUUGGCGUAAUGGCUUUAAACGACC
rnacentral:rRNA from 1 species